rnacentral:rRNA from 1 species
UACGUAGGGUGCGAGCGUUGUCCGGAAUUAUUGGGCGUAAAGAGCUCGUAGGCGGUUUGUCGCGUCGACUGUGAAAACCUACAGCUUAACUGUGGGCUUGCAGUCGAUACGGGCAGACUUGAGUUCGGUAGGGGAGACUGGAAUUCCUGGUGUAGGCGGUGAAAUGCGCAGAUAUCAGGAGGAACACCGGUGGCGAAGGCGGGUCUCUGGGCCGAUACUGACGCUGGGGAGCGAAAG